GUYUUUUYGUUGAAAAUUUAAAGUCGGGCCUGCCCACUGAAAUUUUAAAUGGCCGUGGUAUUUUGACCGUGCUAAGGUAGCAUAAUCAUUAGUUUUUUAAUUGAAAGCUGGAAUGAAGGGUUUGAUAAAAAAAUGACUGUCUCUAUUUAAUUUUAUUAGAAUUUUAUUUUUAAGUUCAAAAGCUUAAUUUAUGUUAAAAGACGAGAAGACCCUAUAGAGUUUAAUAGUAAGAGAUAAUUUUUAUUUUAGAAUUGAUUUAUUUAUUAUUUUAUACUAUUUAGUUGGGGUGAUUAAAAAAUUUAAUUAACUUUUUUUAUAUUAUACCAUUAAUUUAUGAUUAUUUGAUCCAAUAUUUUUGAUUAUAAGAUAAAAUUACCUUAGGGAUAACAGCGUAAUUUUUUUAGAAAGUUCAAAUUAAAAGAAAAGAUUGCGACCUCGAUGUUGGAUUAAAAUUAAAAUUUGGUGUAGAAGCUAAGAAGUUUAAGUCUGUUCGACUUUUAAAAUUUUACA
rnacentral:rRNA from 1 species